rnacentral:rRNA from 1 species
GACGAACGCUGGCGGCGUGCCUAAUACAUGCAAGUAGAACGCUGAAGUCAGGAGCUUGCUCUUCUUGGAUGAGUUGCGGACGGGUGAGUAACGCGUAGGUAACCUGCCUGGUAGCGGGGGAUAACUAUUGGAAACGAUAUCUAAUACCGCAUGACAAUAGGUGACACAUUUCACUUAUGUGAAAUGGGCAAUUGCUCCACGACAAGAUGGACCUGCGUUGUAUUAGUUAGUAGGUGAGGUAACGGGGCAACCAAGCCAGGAGACGUAGCCGACCUGAGAGGGGGCUCGGCCAAGCUGGGACGGAGACACGGCCCAGAAUCCUACGGGAGGCAGCAGUAGGGAACCUCCGGGAAUGGGGGCAACCCUGAACGAGGAACGACGCGUGAGUGCAGGAGGUUGUCGGGUCGUGAAAGUCAGUUAUGAGUCAAGAACGUGAGGGAGAGUGAAACGUGCACACUGUGACGGUACCGUAACAGAAAGCGACGGCUAACUACGUG